GACGAACGCUGGCGGCGUGCUUAACACAUGCAAGUCGAACGGAAAGGCCCUGCUUUUGUGGGGUUCUCGAGUGGCGAACGGGUGAGUAACACGUGAGUAACCUGCCCUUGACUUUGGGAUAACUUCAGGAAACUUGGGCUAAUACCGGAUAGGAGCUCCUGCUGCAUGUUGGGGGUUGGAAAGUUUCGGCGGUUGGGGAUGGACUCGCGGCUUAUCAGCUUGUUGGUGGGGUAGUGGCUUACCAAGGCUUUGAUGGGUAGCCGGCCUGAGAGGGUGACCGGCCAAAUUGGGACUGAGAUACGGCCCAGACUCGUACGGGAGGCAGCAGUGGGGAAUAUUGCACAAUGGGAGGAAGACUGAUGCAGCAACGCCGCGUGCGGGAUGACGGCCUUCGGGUUGUAAACCGCUUUCGCCUGUGACGAAGCGUGAGUGACGGUAAUGGGUAAAGAAGCACCGGCUAACUACGUG
rnacentral:rRNA from 1 species